rnacentral:rRNA from 1 species
GCCCGGCGCCACAAGUGGUUAUCACGAUUAUUGGGCCUAAAGCGUUCGUAGCCGGUCUGGUAAAUCUCUUGUGAAAUUGUUCGGCUUAACCGGACAGCGUGCAGGAGACACUGCCAGACUCGAGACCGGGAGGGGUUAGAAGUAUUCCAUGGGGACUGGUAAAAUGGGAUAAUCCAUGGAAGACUACCGAUGGCGAAGGCAUCUAACCAGAACGGAUCUGACGGUGAGGAACGAAAGCCAGGGGAGCGAACCGG